rnacentral:rRNA from 1 species
GAUGAAGCACCAGCUUGCUGGUGUGGAUUAGUGGCGAACGGGUGAGUAACACGUGAGUAACCUGCCCCUCACUCUGGGAUAAGCCUGGGAAACUGGGUCUAAUACUGGAUACGACCGAUCUCCGCAUGGAGUGUUGGUGGAAAGUUUUUGUGGUGGGGGAUGGACUCGCGGCCUAUCAGCUUGUUGGUGGGGUAAUGGCCUACCAAGGCGACGACGGGUAGCCGGCCUGAGAGGGCGACCGGCCACACUGGGACUGAGACACGGCCCAGACUCCUACGGGAGGCAGCAGUGGGGAAUAUUGCACAAUGGGCGAAAGCCUGAUGCAGCGACGCCGCGUGAGGGAUGACGGCCUUCGGGUUGUAAACCUCUUUCACCAGGGACGAAGCUAACGUGACGGUACCUGGAGAAGAAGCACCGGCUAACUACGUGCCAGCAGCCGCGGUAAUACGUAGGGUGCGAGCGUUGUCCGGAAUUAUUGGGCGUAAAGAGCUUGUAGGCGGUUUGUCGCGUCUGCUGUGAAAGACCGGGGCUUAACUCCGGUUCUGCAGUGGGUACGGGCAGACUAGAGUGUGGUAGGGGAGACUGGAAUUCCUGGUGUAGCGGUGAAAUGCGCAGAUAUCAGGAGGAACACCGAUGGCGAAGGCAGGUCUCUGGGCCAUUACUGACGCUGAGAAGCGAAAGCAUGGGGAGCGAACAGGAUUAGAUACCCUGGUAGUCCAUGCCGUAAACGUUGGGCGCUAGGUGUGGGACUCAUUCCACGAGUUCCGUGC